rnacentral:lncRNA from 1 species
GUGGGAUACCUUAUAUCCCUAAUUUCCCUGCGCACCGCUUCUCCCCACGGCGCACACGCGCAACUUCUCUGCGCGCCGCCAGCCCCACUUCUCCCCACGGCGCGCCGCCAUCCCCGCGCACCUUCCUGCGCGCCGCCAGCCCCGCGCUUCCCUGCGCGCCGCCAGCCCCGCUUCUCCCCACGGCGCGCCGCCAUCCCCGCGCACCUUCCUGCGCGCCGCUAGCCCCGCGCUUCCCUGCGCGCCGCCAGCCGUCAGCCCGCACCUGCGCGCCGCCAGCCGUCAGCCCGCACCUGCGCGCCGCCAGCCCGUCACCGCUUGGAGACCCGCGCAGCCGCGCUUCCUUGCGCACCGCCACUCCAGCCGACAGCCGCGCUUCCGUGGCCGCGUCCACCGCCGCCAGCUCUGUGGUCGCGCCGUCAGCCAACCCAUCUGCCGUCGUGAGGUACUG